rnacentral:rRNA from 1 species
UACGUAGGGGGCAAGCGUUGUCCGGAUUUAUUGGGCGUAAAGCGCGUGUAGGCGGCCACACAGGUCCGCUGUGAAAACUCGAGGCUCAACCUCGAGCUGUCGGUGGAAACCGUGUGGCUAGAGUCCGGAAGAGGAGUGUGGAAUUCCUGGUGUAGCGGUGAAAUGCGCAGAUAUCAGGAAGAACACCUAUGGCGAAGGCAGCACUCUGGGACGGUACUGACGCUGAGACGCGAAAGCGUGGGGAGCGAACAGG